rnacentral:tRNA from 1 species
GCAGUGGUGGUUCUGCGGUAGAGUUCUGCCUUUCACGCAGGAGACCUGGGUUCGAUUCCCAGCCAGGGCA